CCUACGGGUGGCAGCAGUGAGGAAUAUUGGUCAAUGGGCGCGAGCCUGAACCAGCCAAGUCGCGUGAGGGAAGACGGCCCUACGGGUUGUAAACCUCUUUUGCCGGGGAGCAACGGGCGCCACGUGUGGCGCCCCUGAGAGUCCCCGGAGACAAAGCAUCGGCUAACUCCGUGCCAGCAGCCGCGGUAAUACGGAGGAUGCGAGCGUUAGCCGGUUUGAUUGGGUUAAAAGGGUGCGUAGGCGGAGCGUUAAGUCAGUGGUCAAAUUGAGGGGCUCAACCCCUUCCCGCCAUUGAAACUGGCGCUCUUGAGUGGAAGAGAAGUAGGCGGAAUGCGUGGUGUAGCGGUGAAAUGCAUAGAUAUCACGCAGAACCCCGAUUGCGAAGGCAGCAUGCCGGCUUCCGACUGACGCUGAAGCACGAAAGCGUGGGGAUCGAACAGGAUUAGAUACCCCAGUAGUC
rnacentral:rRNA from 1 species